UAGAUACUAUAUAUACCAAGUGGAUGCGAAACAGGAAGUGGAUUGUACAUGAAAUUAUAUUGGUGACGUCACGAGCAGUAUGCCUAUGCUCUUUUCGCUCUAGCGUAGCCUCUAGUGGCCUUGUUUCUCGAAGUUUUGGGUUCUUGGUCAAGUUACUACUUUCCUGAGUUGAAGUAAGUAUUAUGAAGUCUCUAUUAGCUCGAAUGACCUGCUGAAUCCUUGUUUGCUUGAUCACUGGAUCUCGUUGUACUGUAAAACAUGGCGGCCUAUAGUUCUGACUUUAAACACCUUUUCUCCAAUCUGGGGCAGAGUUAGGUAUGAAUAUGAAACCAAUGAAGAUAAAUUGUCUGUUGUUUCUUGUAUUGACUCUUUUCAGAAGAAAUAUAGAUUUUUAUGAAGUUUUUUAUAAUUAUUGAUUUUGCCACCA
rnacentral:lncRNA from 1 species